rnacentral:misc_RNA from 1 species
UACGUAGGGUGCGAGCGCUAACCGGAAUCAUUGGGCGUAAAGAGCUCGUAGGCGGUUCAACAAGUCGGCUGUGAAAGUCCGAGGCUCAACCUCGGAAUUGCAGUCGAUACUGUUGUGACUCGAAUCCGGUAGAGGCGAAUGGAAUUCCCGGUGUAGCGGUGAAAUGCGCAGAUAUCGGGAGGAACACCAGUAGCGAAGGCGGUUCUCUGGGCCGGCACUGACGCUGAGGAGCGAAAGCGUGGGGAGCAAACAGG